rnacentral:lncRNA from 8 species
AGGUUGGAGGAAGAGUUACCUAUGAUAUAUGUUAAAGUAUCAGGGCACACAGUCAAGAAAAGGAUCUCUAAAUUACACUGAGUUUACAAAACACCCGCACUUUCCAUGGCAUAGACUGACCCGGUGAAUCAAGGUGAAAGCUAUGAUCCCUUAUUGAUGUGACUUGUUAAAUCCACUUCAAUCAGUGUAGACGAAGUGGGGGAGACAGUUUAAAGAAGGAUUUUUAAGCCUUGGGACAAUUGAGAAAGUGUGUCAUUCAGGGGGUGAAAGGGCAAGACAAAAUAUUGAAGUGCCACCGGUUUGUGUGUCAAGAACUGCUUCACUGCUAGGUUUUUCACACUCAACAGUUUCCCGUGUGUAUCAAGAAUGGUCCACCUCCCAAAGGACAUCCAGCCAACAUGACAACUGUGAGAAGCAUUAAAGUCAAUAUGGGCCAGCAUCCUUGUGGAACGCUUUCGACACCUUGUAGAGUCCAUGCCCCGACGAAAUAAAGCUGUUUUGAGGGCAAUAGGGGGUGUGUAACUCAAUAUUAGGAGAAGCCCGGCACUGAUAGAAGCCCCACAGGUAGAAGUCAUGGCAUGCUAUUGAAGUCCAAAGUAUCCACAAUCCAUCACCCCCUGUUGAGUGUUUGUGAUGUGACUAAAUGGUCCUGUGUGUUUCACUGUGGAUCUCCCUGUUGCUGACCUCUUUUCCACGCCUCUCGGCUCUGCCCUCUCCUGAAGCCACACGCCAGAUCUUUAAGAAGCACUGCAACAAGGUGAGAACACCACCUCCAUGUAGUAGGUUUCAUGUAAACUCUUCUAUUCUAGCCUGAGAUAUGCAAUAUUUACUCUCCAAACUUUUUUCUAACCUCCCAACGGAAGGGGAGUGUCGACCUUUGGAGCUUCUCAACCCGCUAACAGAGGCCAUAAAAUGCGGAGGCAUGGUGGUGGAUGACUUCGUCCUGCAGCUGAUUGUCAUGUCUGGCCUGCGCUACACGGAGCCAAUCAGUUACCCCGGUUUCCUUUUCCUGCUGAUGGAACUGGACAACAUGAUCCAUACAUUUCAAGACUAUGUAUGACAUUGUGGGAAUGGGGACCAUAUCAGUCAGCUACAGACAGUGGCUCCACAUGACGAUGUACAACUGACGAUGGCUCCACAUGACGAUGUACAGUACAACUGACCCGAUGUGCAACUGAUCCAAUCUCACUGAAUUUCAGCCCCUCCUCUGCCUGUUCAACUGGUUUUUGUUGCAAUAUUGUUUUAAAUGAAAAGUUACAGUAGAUUUACUUUGCAAUAAAUCAAAUCAAAUCAAAUCAAAUUUAUUUUUAUAUAGCCCUUCGUACAUCAGCUGAUAUUCUCAAAGUGCUGUACAGAAACCCAGCCUAAAACCCCAAACAGCAAGCAAAGCAUGUGAAAGAAGCACGGUGGCUAGGAAAAACUCCCUAGGAAAAACUCCCUAGAAAGGCCAAAAACCUAGGAAGAAACCUAGAGAGGAACCAGGCUAUGAGGGGUGGCCAGUCCUCUUCUGGCUGUGCAGGGUGGAUAUUAUAACAGAACAUGGUCAAAAUGUUAAAAUGUUAAAAUGUUCAUAAAUGACCAGCAUGGUCAAAUAAUAAUAAUCAUAGUAGUUGUCGAGGGUGCAACAAGCACGUCCGGUGAACAGGUCAGGGUUCCAUAGCCGCAGGCAGAACAGUUGAAACUGGAGCAGCAGCACGGCCAGGUGGACUGGGGACAGCAAGGAGUCAUCAUACCAGGUAGUCCUGAGGCAUGGUCCUAGGGCUCAGGUCCUCCGAGAGAAAGACAGAAAGAGAGAAAGAGAGAAUUAGAGAGAGCAUAUUUAAAUACACACAGGACACCGGAUAAGACAAGAGAAAUACUCCAGAUGUAACAGACUGACCCUAGCCCCCCGACACAUAAACUACUGCAGCAUAAAUACUGGAGGCUGAGACAGGAGGGAUCAGAAUAAAGACUUCCAGUUAUUUGUUCCGAACAUCAGAUUUGAGUCAUUCCAUAACAAUGCUAUGUCAUCAUAGCAACUAAGUGCAUGCUGUCAUUUUGUUUAACUUUCUGUUGCCUCCUUUUCAGCAGACUGAAUAAGUGUAGAGAAGAGGACUUUGACACUGGGAAUGUUUUGCGAAAUGUAUAUUCUGCAGAGAGACCUUGACUUUUGGUAUGCGUAAAUAUCCGCUUCAAAGCAUCACACUCUAUGGACGGUCUUUAUAGAGUACCAGUCAAAAGUUUGGACACACCUACUCAGUCCGUGGUUUUUCUUUACUUUUACUAUUUUCUACAUUGUAGAAUAAUAGUGAUGACAUCAGAACUAUGAAAUAACACACAUGGAAUUAUGUAGUAACCAAAAAAGUGUUUUAUUUGAUAUUCUUCAAAGUAGCCACCCUUUGCCUUGAUGACACUUGGCAUUCUCUCAACCAGCUUCAUGAGGAAUGCUUUUCCAACAUUCUUGAAGGACUUCCCACAUAUGCUGAGCACUUGUUGGCCGCUUUUCCUUCACUCUGCAGUCCAACUCAUCCCAAACCAUCUCAAUUGGGUUGAGGUCGGGUGAUUGUGGAGGCCAGGUCAUCUGAUGCAGCACUCCAUCAAUCUCGUUCUUGGUCAAAUAGCCCUUACACUAUUUGGGCUCCCGAGUAGUGCAGCGGUCUAAGGCACUGCAUUUCAGUGCUAGAGGCAUCACUACAGACACUCUGGUUCGAUUGCAGGCUGUAUCUCGACAGGUCGUGAUUGGGAGUCCCAUAGGGCGGUGCACAAUUGGCCCAGCGUCGUCCGGGUUUGGCCGGCGUAGGCCGCCAUUGUAAAUAAGAAUUUGUUCUUAACCGACUUGCCAAGUUAAAUAAAUAUAUAUAUUUUUAAAUACACAACCUGGAGGUGUGUUUUGGUUCAUUGUCCUGUUGAAAAACUAAUUAUAAUAAAGUGCAAACCAGAUGGGAUGGUGUAUCACUCGAGAAAGCUGUGGUAGCCAUGCUGGUUAGGUGUGCCUUGAAUUCUAAAUGAAUCACUGACAGAGUCACCAGCAAAGCAACCCCACACCAUCACACCUCCUCCUCCAUGCUUCACGGUAGGAACCACACAUGCGGAGGUCAUCCGUUCAACUACUCUGCGUCUCACAAAGAAGGCGGUUGGAACCAAAAAUCUCAAAUUUGGACUCAUCAGACCAAAGGACAGAUUUCCACCGGUCUAAUGUCCAUUGCUUGUGUUUCUUGUAAGUCUCUUAUUAUUAUUGGUGUCCUUUAGUAGUGGUUUCUUUGCAGCAGUUAACUUUUAACAAGGCACACCUGUUAAUUGAAAUGGAUUCCAGGUGACUACCUCAUGAAGCUUGUUGAGAGAAUGCCAAGAGUGUGCAAAGCUGUCAUCAAGGCAAAAGGUGGCUACUUUUAAGAACCUCAAAUAUAAAAUAUAUUUUGAUUUGUUGAAAACUUUUUGGGUUACUAUAUGAUUAGAUAUGUGUUAUUUCAUAGUUUUGAUGUCUUCACUAUUAAAAAGUAAAAAUAAAGAAAAACCAUUGAAUGAGUAGGUGUGUCCAAACUUUUGACUGUUACUGUAUGUAUAGUCUAAAAAGCACAUCCCAGACCCAGGGGGACUGUGGCAAACGUUCAAGCUAUUUCCUGUUGCGCCAUUAUUACGCUUGUGUUAGAUAACUCAGAAGCAAAAAAUUGAGCUUGAAGAAGUACAGCUGCUCAUUUUGUACUUCUCCCAACACACACACCCCAGACUUAUUAAACAAUCUUGAAUAACUGAAAUUAGGAUCAGCAAACAUUGAUAUCAAAGGAGAACAGCUGUAGAUGCACACCUUGAAUUAAUUUUACUUUUCAUCAUGUAUUAGCUUCACCCGCAACAGGCUGACUUUGGGGAUUUAAAAAAAAGAGGUGCCAAUAUAGGCCUAACUGUCAUUACAAUGAGAUAGAAUUCAUUAUAAAAUGGAUAUGAUGCUUUGAUGUGUAAUCAUUUAACCGUGAC